AGUUUACUUAACAGAUUCCUUCGGGAUGACGUUUUUUAAACUUAGUGGCGGACGGGUGAGUAACGCGUGGGUAACCUGCCUUACACAGGGGGAUAGCAGUUGGAAACGACUGGUAAUACCGCAUACCUUACAUUAUUCGCAUGUUUGAUGUAAGAAAGAUACUAUCGGUGUAAGAUGGACCCGCGUCUGAUUAGCUAGUUGGUGUGGUAACGGCAUACCAAGGCGACGAUCAGUAGCCGGCCUGAGAGGGUGAACGGCCACAUUGGGACUGAGACACGGCCCAGACUCC
rnacentral:rRNA from 1 species